CCUACGGGGAGCAGCAGUGAGGAAUAUUGGUCAAUGGGCGGGAGCCUGAACCAGCCAAGUCGCGUGAGGGAAGACGGUCCUAUGGAUUGUAAACCUCUUUAGGCGGGGAGCAAUGCCGGGCACGCGUGCCCGGAGGGAGAGGACCCGCAGAAUAAGCAUCGGCUAACUCCGUGCCAGCAGACGCGGGAAUACGGAGGAUGCGAGCGUGAUCCGGAUUUAUGGGGGUAAAAGGGGGCGUAGGCGGAAUGCCAAGUCAGCGGUAAAAUCACGGGGCUCAACCUCGCUCCGCCGUUGAAACUGGCGUUCUUGAGUGGGCGAGAGGUAUGCGGAAUGCGUGGUGUAGCGGUGAAAUGCAUAGAUAUCACGCAGAACUCCGAUUGCGAAGGCAGCAUACCGGCGCGCAACUGACGCUGAGGCACGAAAGCGUGGGUAUCGAACAGGAUUAGAUACCCCUGUAGUC
rnacentral:rRNA from 1 species